CGAGUCUGAAACUCGCACAGGCAAAGCCAAGGCAAUCGAAGCAGAGUCAGAGUCACAGCCCUCUCUCAAGGCUCGAGCUGGAACCCAAAAGCUAAUUAAUGGUGGACAGCCAGUCCCUUUCCGCCGCCGACCUCUCCUCCUCCUCUGCGGCCGCGCCUCCCGAUGCCCUCGCGCCAGCCCCCUCUUCCGGCCCCCUCCUCCUCCGCGCCGUCCCCGGCCGCCGCGCUCCUCCACCAGCAGCACCGCCACCACCAACGCCACCUCGCCGUGAAGGCCGUGGCGGCCACGGCGAUCGUAGCGGUCGCCCUCGUGGCCGCUCUCGUGACCGCGCUGUGGUGGCGGAGGAGGAGGAAGCGGGCGGCGGCGGAGCCAGAGGGGACCAAGGGGACCGUACGGUGCCUGUCGUACCGGCAGCUGAGGCGCGCCACGGCCGGGUUCGCCGCGGGGAACAAGCUCGGCCAGGGAGGGUUCGGGCCCGUCUUCCGCGGCGCCCUGCCCCCGGAGAAGGGCCAUGGGGGCAGGGGGAGGGAGCGGCCCGUCGCCGUCAAGGUCAUGGACGCCGCGGGCUCGCUCCAGGGCGAGCGCGAGUUCCACAACGAGAUCGCCGUCGCCUCCCACCUCCUCAGCUCCGGCUCCGCCUCAACCUCCGAGGAGGCGCUCUGCUCCAACAUCCUGCUUCCGUUCGCUUACUCGAUGCCGGCGUGCGGGGGAGAAGCCCGGCGGCCGCGCCGGAUGAUGCUGGUGUACGACCUCAUGCCCAACGGGUCUCUGCAGGACGCGCUGCUUGGCGCGGGGUCGCGCCGCCACCGGGACCUCGUGUCUGAGUGGCCGCGCCGCCUCGCCGUGGCGCGGGACGUGGCAGCCGCGCUCCGCUAUCUCCACUCCGUCGUCAAGCCGCCGGUCGUGCAUGGGGACGUCAAGCCCAGCAACGUCUUGCUUGACGCGGACCUCAAGGCUCGCCUCGCCGACUUCGGCCUCGCCCGUGUGUGUUCCGACCCUGACCCUGAAGGCAAGCCAGUGAGCGGCGUGAUUGCUGAAGGCGACGGCAUGAUUGCAGGAGCUUAUGCGAAUGGGAAUCCUAAUGGGGGAUGUGAUGAUGACGUCUCAGUGGUGGCAGAGAGCACGGUAACGACCACGGUGAAUGGGGAGGGGAAUGGUGCGCCCAAGUCGCCAGAGGAUGAUGAGGCCUUCACAUCUGCAUCGCCGGCAGAGGCCGCAUCCACUUCUGGGUUUGACAGGACCAGCGUUGACAGUGGUACGAACAGCCGGAGCUGCAAUGGUGGCUCACGUACUGGUGGCGCCACGGCAUCAGGAACUGGGAGUGAUUGGUGGUGGCCACAGGACAAUGGUGCACCAAACAUUGGCGUUAAGGACUAUGUCAUGGAGUGGAUUAGAUCAGAGAUCAAGAAAGAACGCCCGAAGAGUGAUUGGGUUGCAGGGACAGCUGUAAACAAUCCAGUUGCUGAGAGGAAGAAGUCGAAGCGGAGGGCAAGAGAAUGGUGGCGUGAGGAUUACGUUGAUGAGCUAGCCAAGAAGCAGAAACGGCGGGCACUUGCCAAAUCAAAGAGCCAGCAGGUCGGGUUGCAAUGGUGGGAAAGGGAUAUUGAUGAUGACUUUGAUGAGAAGGGGCAGUCCAAGUGGAAUUUGGUAAAGAGCUGGAGUCGGAGGAGCAGCAAUAGCACCAGCAAUUGCCAUGGCAGCAUUAACUGGUGGGUAAAUGGUGCAAGAAGCAGCCGUGACUGGGCAAGCGGAGAAUUAGUUCCCAAGAGCGGUGGUACAGUGAGCAGCACGCCUAGCAUGCGUGGCACGGUGUGCUAUGUGGCUCCUGAGUAUGGUGGCGGAGGCCCAUUAUCGGAGAAAUGUGACAUCUACAGCUACGGUGUCCUAUUACUUGUUCUUGUUUCCGGGCGCCGGCCAUUGCAGGUAAUGGCGUCACCCAUGUCGGAGUUUGAGAAGGCAAGCCUUAUAUCAUGGGCCAGGCACCUUGCACGCGCCAGCCGCUUGCUUGAUCUGGUUGACCCUGCCCUGCGUGAUGUUAACCGUGACGAGGCGUUGCUCUGCAUUACCAUUGCGCUCCUCUGCAUCCAGAGGUCUCCAGCUUAUCGCCCAUCGAGUGAGGAAUUGCUCCAGAUGCUCUCUUGUGAGGGAGAACUGCCAAACCUCCCACUGGAGUUUUCACCCUCACCACCUGGUGGGUUCCCUUUCAAGUCUCGGAAAAAAGUUCGAUGCCGAAAAGGUGAUGGAAAUCUCAAUUCACGUUGCACAAGAACUGUGUCCCCAUGAAUCAUAGGCCCAUACCCAUGCGUGAUUUAGUACCAAGGGCCAUGGAGGUUACUUUAAUGACCCUUUGGAGUGCGUUAUGGACCCCCACGAAUUUGGUGGCUGGUGUUAUCUCGUCCUCCCCUGAAAAUCUAUUAUGUUAAGCUAAUAUGAGAGUCAACAAGGUCAUUAUGCUAUCUGCAAAGGCUUCAUUGAGGUGUCUGUGUCAGUGUCAGUGCCACUCAGUCUUGGUAAUGUGGUUCACCAACAUGGUUGGACACAAUAUAUUGGUAGUGGUAGGUUCGAUGUUCACACAACCAGCCAGUAGGUUAGUUGUUAACAUACAUUGCAUCAUAUUUGUAGGUUUGCCUACAUUACUUCAGAGUUUUGUUGUCCUAGACUCUUGUUAAUGUUGUUAUUAGAAUC